GCAGCCGCCGCGGGAAUACGAAGGGGGCUAGCGUUGCUCGGAACCACUGGGCGUAAAGGGUGCGUAGGCGGGUUAUUAAGUCAGAGGUGAAAUCCUGGAGCUCAACUCCAGAACUGCCUUUGAUACUGAUAGUCUUGAGUAUGGGAGAGGUGAGUGGAACUGCGAGUGUAGAGGUGAAAUUCGUAGAUAUUCGCAAGAACACCAGUGGCGAAGGCGGCUCACUGGCCCAUAACUGACGCUGAUGCACGAAAGCUAGGGGAGCAAACAGGAUUAGAUACCCCAGUAGUCCCUGUCUCUUAUAC
rnacentral:rRNA from 1 species